rnacentral:rRNA from 1 species
CCUACGGGAGGCAGCAGUGGGGAAUAUUGCACAAUGGGGGAAACCCUGAUGCAGCGACGCCGCGUGAGCGAAGAAGUAUUUUGGUAUGUAAAGCUCUAUCAGCAGGGAAGAAAAGGAAGGUACCUGAUUAAGAAGCCACGGCUAACUACAUUCCAGCAGCCGCGGUAAUACGGAGGGGGCCAGCGUUAUCCGGAUUUACUGGGUGUAAAGGGAGCGUAGACGGGAGCACAAGUCUGGAGUGAAAUGCCGGGGCUUAACCCCAGAACUGCUUUGGAAACUGUGCAGCUAGAGUGCAGGAGAGGUAAGUGGAAUUCCUGGUGUAGCGGUGAAAUGCGUAGAUAUUAGGAGGAACACCGGUGGCGAAGGCGGCUUACUGGACUGUAACUGACGUUGAGGCUCGAAAGCGUGGGGAGCAAACAGGAUUAGAUACCCUUGUAGUC